AAAUUGUGGCUGUUACCUGGAUAGGGGAUUUCUAGUUCCCUGGAAUUCCCUUCCUCAUACGUAAAGAAAGAGGUGGAUCACAUUGUUUGUUUACAAAUGCCCAUAGGCCUUAAGGGCAUAUCACAAAGAAAGCAGGGACUAAUCUUUCGAGCUAGAAUUUAUGCAACCCUUUUUAAAUUCUCUUCCACUUGAAGUAUUUCCUCCCUCAAUUCCCCAACCUACAAAAAUCCUUUUUUCUAUAAGCUCUGCUUGCUUUCCUCUGAAACCUAAGUAAGGUUUUGUAACUUCCUUAUCUCUAUUUUAGAGGGGAAGAGGGGAAGAGAGAAAGAAAGAAAGAAAGAAAGGGAAGAAGAAAGAAGAAAAAAGAGAAAGAGAGGAAGAGGGGGAGAGAGAAGGAAAGAAUAAAAGAAAUGAAGGGAAGGGGAAAGGAGAAAGGAGAGGAAAGGGAGGGGAGAAGAGAGAAAGGAAUGGAAGGGAAAGAAUGGGAAAAGGAAAAGGACUGGAUUGCUUUAGGAAUCUAGAGAGCUGGAUUGUGGUCCUUAUUUCAGCCUAUCAGCCUAUGUGGUCCAGACACCUCCUAUUAGUUAGUUUCUUUCUUCACCUAUGAAAUGAGAUUUUUAGUCAAAGGGCCUAUAUUUGGAUACCACUUCAGGUAUUAUUUUAUGUAACCAUAAGAAAGUAAGUUCAUGUUUCUUGUCCUCAAGCUUUUCCUCUCUUGUAGAAUAAGGAGUUGGGCUAAAUGACUUUUGAGGUCCCUCUUAGUACUAAAUUCUAUGAUUUGAUGUGAUUUAAAAAAUGUUGUUGCAUAUGCAUUCACUAUUUAGUAACAGUUAUAGUCAUUAUGUAGGUUUUUAAGGUUUAAAUAUACUUUACACUUAUCUCUUCUGAUCCUCACCAUAAUCCUGUGUGUUUUGCUAAUAAGGAAACUAGACUUUCUCAUACCCAUACAGCUAAUAAGUAUCUGAGACAGAAUUUGAAUUCAGGUCUUUCUGACUCAGUGUUCUUUCCAUUAUAACAACUAGCCUGCCAUCAUUUACACUUAUAUGAUACUUUAAGGUUUAGAACACACAUUUUUUUGUCAAAGAAAAUUUGGAAUGUAGGGAGUGCAAGUCACUCACUGUGCAAAGGAGUAAAUGAGGACUCAAGAACUCAAAGUUCUCUGAUCAUAGUAACACAGUAAGUUUAAAGCUAAGAUUUGAAUUAAUGUUGUUUCUAUUUAAUGACAUGGAAAGAGUGCUAGACCUUUGCAUUCUUACCUGGCACUUAAUUACCUACUGCUUUGUGUUGUACUUUUCUGUGUCAUUGUUCAUUGUGUCAAUGUGUAUACAUUGUGUCAUCUUCUAAAUUAUAUGAAAAAUCUCUUAAUUGAAAGGACCAUGGAUUUAUACUUUUAUGUAAAAUCUACAUAGUACCUAGUCCUAUAUACUCUUAAUAUUAUUUUUCAUUCAUUUUAUUUUUAAGUUAAAUAAUGCUUUAAUUGAGCUUCAUUCCAUAUUUAUUUCUCUUAUUUUCCUACAUUAGCUCAUUUUGCCAGUGAUUAAAAUCUAAAGAAAGAAAUGAAUCAGCUCUAGAGUACAUUAAUAGUCAAAUUUAUUAUCUUUGAGAAG
rnacentral:lncRNA from 1 species